CCUACGGGGGGCAGCAGUGGGGAAUAUUGGACAAUGGGGGGAACCCUGAUCCAGCGACGCCGCGUGAGUGAAGAAGUAUUUCGGUAUGUAAAGCUCUAUCAGCAGGGAAGAAAGACAUGACGGUACCUGACUAAGAAGCCCCGGCUAACUACGUGCCAGCAGCCGCGGUAAUACGGAGGGGGCAAGCGUUAUCCGGAUUUACUGGGUGUAAAGGGAGCGUAGGCGGCGAUGCAAGUCUGAAGUGAAAGGCGGGGGCCCAACCUCCGGACUGCUUUGGAAACUGUAGGGCUGGAGUGCAGGAGAGGUAAGUGGAAUUCCUAGUGUAGCGGUGAAAUGCGUAGAUAUUAGGAGGAACACCAGUGGCGAAGGCGGCUUACUGGACUGUAACUGACGUUGAGGCUCGAAAGCGUGGGGAGCAAACAGGAUUAGAUACCCCUGUAGUC
rnacentral:rRNA from 1 species